rnacentral:rRNA from 1 species
ACUAACAAGGAUUCCCCUAGUAACUGCGAGUGAAGCGGGAAAAGCUCAAAUUUAAAAUCUGGCGGUCUCUGGCCGUCCGAGUUGUAAUCUAGAGAAGUAAUGCCCGUGCUGGACCGUGUAUAAGUCUCCUGGGAUGGGGCGUCAUAGAGGGUGAGAAUCCCGUCUUUGACACGGACUACCAGUGCAUUGUGGUAUGCUCUCAAAGAGUCGAGUUGUUUGGGAAUGCAGCUCAAAAUGGGUGGUAAAUUCCAUCUAAAGCUAAAUAUUGGCGAGAGACCGAUAGCGAACAAGUACCGUGAGGGAAAGAUGAAAAGAACUUUGGAAAGAGAGUUAAACAGUACGUGAAAUUGCUGAAAGGGAAACGCUUGAAGUCAGUCGCGUUGGCCGGGAAUCAGCCUUGCUUUUGCAUGGUGUACUUUCUGGUUGACGGGUCAGCAUCAAUUUUGACCGCUGGAAAAGGUCCUGGGGAAUGUGGCAGCUCCGGCUGUGUUAUAGCCCCUAGUCAUAUACAGCGGUUGGGAUUGAGGAACUCAGCACGCCGCAAGGCCGGGUUUCGACCACGUUCGUGCUUAGGAUGCUGGCAUAAUGGCUUUAAGCGACCCGUCUUGAAACACGGACCAAGGAGUCUAACAUGCCUGCGAGUAUUUGGGUGGAAAACCCGAGUGCGUAAUGAAAGUGAAAGUUGAGAUCCCUGUCGUGGGGAGCAUCGACGCCCGGACCAGAACUUUUGGGACGGAUCCGCGGUGGAGCAUGUAUGUUGGGACCCGAAAGAUGGUGAACUAUGCCUGAAUAGGGUGAAGCCAGAGGAAACUCUGGUGGAGGCUCGUAGCGAUUCUGACGUGCAAAUCGAUCGUCAAAUUUGGGUAUAGG